rnacentral:rRNA from 1 species
AACGCGAAGAACCUUACCUGGGUUUGACAUGCACAGGACGCCGGCAGAGAUGUCGGUUCCCUUGUGGUCUGUGUGCAGGUGGUGCAUGGCUGUCGUCAGCUCGUGUCGUGAGAUGUUGGGUUAAGUCCCGCAACGAGCGCAACCCUUGUCUCAUGUUGCCAGCGCGUUAUGGCGGGGACUCGUGAGAGACUGCCGGGGUCAACUCGGAGGAAGGUGGGGAUGACGUCAAGUCAUCAUGCCCCUUAUGUCCAGGGCUUCACACAUGCUACAAUGGCCGGUACAAAGGGCUGCGAUGCCGUGAGGCUUAGCGAAUCCUUUAAAGCCGGUCUCAGUUCGGAUCGGGGUCUGCAACUCGACCCCAUGAAGCUGGAAUCGCUAGUAAUCGUGGAUCAGCAUGCCACGGUGAAUACGUUCCCGGGCCUUGUACACACCGAGACGUA